UACGGAGGGUGCUAGCGUUGUUCGGAAUUACUGGGCGUAAAGCGCACGUAGGCGGCUUUGCAAGUUAGAGGUGAAAGCCCGGGGCUUAACCCCGGAAUUGCCUUUAAAACUGCAUCGCUAGAAUUGUGGAGAGGUGAGUGGAAUUCCGAGUGUAGAGGUGAAAUUCGUAGAUAUUCGGAAGAACACCAGUGGCGAAGGCGACUCACUGGACACAUAUUGACGCUGAGGUGCGAAAGCGUGGGGAGCAAACAGG
rnacentral:rRNA from 1 species